UACGGGGGGGGCAAGCGUUGUUCGGAAUUACUGGGCGUAAAGGGCUCGUAGGUGGCCAACUAAGUCAGACGUGAAAUCCCUCGGCUUAACCGGGGAACUGCGUCUGAUACUGGAUGGCUUGAGGUUGGGAGAGGGAUGCGGAAUUCCAGGUGUAGCGGUGAAAUGCGUAGAUAUCUGGAGGAACACCGGUGGCGAAGGCGGCAUCCUGGACCAAUUCUGACGCUGAGGAGCGAAAGCCAGGGGAGCGGAACGGG
rnacentral:rRNA from 1 species